CUUCAACGACCCGAGCCACAGCGGGCGCUGCGGAUCCCGGUCCCGCCCGUACGUCGCGAGCAGCGCCUGCGCCUC
rnacentral:antisense_RNA from 3 species